rnacentral:rRNA from 1 species
AGUGAACGCUGGCGGUAGGCCUAACACAUGCAAGUCGAACGGCAGCACAGUAAGAGCUUGCUCUUACAGGUGGCGAGUGGCGGACGGGUGAGGAAUACAUCGCAAUCUACUUCUUCUUGGGGGAUAACGUAGGGAAACUUACGCUAAUACCUCAUACGACCUACGGGUUAAAGCAGGGGAUCUUCGGACCUUGCGCGAUUCAUUGAGCCGAUGUCGGAUUAGCUAGUUGGCGGGGUAAAGGCCCACCAAGGCGACGAUCCGUAGCUGGUCUGAGAGGAUGAUCAGCCACACUGGAAAUGAGACACGGUCAAGACUCCUACGGGAGGCAGCAGUGGGGAAUAUUGGACAAUGGGCGGAAGACUGAUGGAGAAAGGCCGCGUGGGUGAUGGAGGCCUUCGGGUUGUAAAACGAUGUUGUUGGGAAAGAAAAGCAGUAGGAGAAGACACGGAUAUUAUGACGGUACCUAAAGAAUAAGCAACGGCUAACUACGUG